rnacentral:lncRNA from 1 species
AGACAGAAAUAGAAAUGUAAACAACUUUAUUUUGAAAAUAUUUCAACACUGCAAAUAUCUCUGGGUCUGAUAUUCUAGUAAUCUAAUUGGCUAGUAAUUGAUGUUAGUGUGAUUUAUUGUUGAAGGCUAAAUGUGUUUUUCAGUUUCAAGAAAAUUGCUUUUAAUAAUUGCCUAGAACAAGAGGUUGAUUUGGCAGCAAGAUGUUGACGGGAAGUUAGAGAAGUCAAUAAAGGAAGUUUUUAGCUGAGAGAGAGUGAUUAUUCACUCCCAUAGCCUCUGCAUUGUUAUCCAUUAGCCACGAUAAGAACCUUAGGGAAUUCUGAGAGUGUGUCCAGGAAAGGAUCUGUCAAACUAGAAUAGUAUCUCCUCCUUGAGAAAGGAAAUAACCAAGGAUUCCGCAGCUGAGAGGCUGCCAGGGCUAGUGAAAUAGAGUAAGGAAAUCUUGGCUGUCUCUUAUUCUCUGGUUGUAGUUUAACGCAAGACACUUAUUUACUCACUGAUGGUGUGUGUGUGUGUGGGAGGGGAGAUUAGCAUGAGGGGUGGGAAUGGGGAGAUUUGAUGAAGAGAAAACUAACAUUUUUUUGGUGACUCAGGAACUGUGCCAGGUACUUCCAUGCUUAUUAGCUCAAUUACACAAAAAUCUUGGGACCAGGUAUUAUUUUUCAAGUCUUCCCACAUGAAGUAACUGAAGUUUGGAGAUGUUAAGUGAUUCACCCAAAGUUGUACAGCUAAUAUGUGGUUAGGCUGGGUCCUGAAACCGAGGCAGUUUAUUUUCAAAGCCUUUGCUUUGUGCAUCUUACUGCGCCACAUUGCACUGCACAUCUGCUUCCUGAAAGCACUUUGUAGGUGUGUAAAACUUUUCGUUAAAUGCUUUAAGCUGUUUGGGUUAAAAAUAUAUGUUCAUGUUAUAAGAAAACCAAGACACUCCUAAUUAUAAUCAAAUAGUACUUGUUACAUAUCAAUAUGUGUGUGUGUGUGUGUGUGUGUGUGUGUAUAUGCCGUUGUGCAGAUGUUUAAAAGUAGUUACAUAGACUAGUUCUUGCUUUUCAGGGUCCCAUAAUCUAAACCAGAUGACUUCAGCUUUGGAUAAAUAUAUAGAAGGAAAUUUAAAGAGAAUUCAAAACAAUAGAUGAUGCAGUGACACUGUGAAUAAAUGUUAUUUAUACAGUUUGUAAGAUUUCAUGCUCAUUGUUCGUAUGUCCCAGGUGGAGUUCAGAAAAUAUUCACUUCAUUUCCACAAAGGGAAAUAGUGCCUAGAGAUGGUUUUCUUUUAAAAAGUCCUUUUCAUAAUGCAGUGCCCUUCCUUCCAUUGCCCUUCAUUCCAUUGCUUCCCAUGCUUGUCAAGAGACUAAAAUGUUACUUAUAGUAAUAGUCACUAUCUCAAUGUAAAUAGCACCCUUAUUUGAUGAGAAUUAUUAUUUCAGUUCUAAAAAUGGGGAAGCAAAGUCAGCAGGAGGCAAAGUAGCUUGUUAAAGUAUUCUGCAACUUUCAAAUGGUUGCUUCCACUGCAUUUCACGUCUUGGCACUUCUAAUUGAGGGUUACUCUAACCACCCUAUUUAAAAUUGUAACUGUCCCCCACCCCCUUAAUUACUAACCCUGGUCUACUUUUUGUUUUCUUUUUCUGUAACUCUUAUCUUCUUACUAUAUAAUUUAUACUAUAUAAUUUACUUCAUUAUGUCUAUUGUUUAUUGUCUGUCUUUUCCAAAUUCUACUGCCUCUUACCCUCUCCAGAAUGAAAACUAGUAUCUUUGUUUUUGUUUACUGAUGUAACCCAAACACCUACAAACAGUGCCCAGUAUAUACUAGGCCCGCAAAUAUAUAUUGGCUGACUGACUGUAUGGUUUAGUAUCAUGUCAUAGUAUUGAGACUGUAACUUUGGUCUUCUCAUUUUCUUCUUUGUAUUGUGCGUCCUAGACUUAGUUUGGCCUCUCCUUCUGUCCUUGUAUACUCUAAUACUGGAUAAGAAUUUUGGAGUCUUUUUCAACUCUGAGUCAGUGAAUGCCACAUAACUUAGUGACUAUAUUUAAAUGGUUAAUUUACAAUUUUUUCCCUGCAAAGGAUACUGUAGUCACUGUGAGUAUUUUAGUAUUAUUGUAGGACUCAAGAGGGAAUUAAAACUACAAAAAUGACUCGUCUUGUAUGACACAGAAAGAAAUGUUUCUUCACAGAGGGAGGAGAAAAAUAUCUUCAAGAGAGAACUAAUUGAAUCAAAUCAAUGAACCAUGUCUCAUCUUUUUGGAUAAGUAACUGUUAGUAAUCCAGACACUUCAUGAGCUUUCAUUAUGUAAAGUCUUUAGCAGAAGCUAAAGGAGGGGCACCAACCACAGUAAUUUUAACUUAAGAACAAAAUGGAGCAUGAAAAUAAAUUAUUAAAUCAUUUACUCCCACUAUUUUUGGGUUAGGGCCAAUAAUGGGGAGAGAAAGAGGUAGACUAGUUUUGUGUUUGUGGCUAUUUUAAUAGAGUAGCACAAGUAAUCAAAAAACAGUAGGCUGUUUUGAAUUUACUGGCUGUCCCUUAUGAGUUCACAGUUAGAUUGGACUGUCCUCAAUGUACUUUCUUUUUUUUCUUUCUUUCCCACAUCUCUUUAUUUCUCUGAUUUUGUUUAAACUUCAUAAAGAGCUCUCUGAUCUUUCCUUUCCAAACAAUGAAGGUUUAUCCUUUGUAAACUACCUCUGUACUCCACAGGCUGAUGAUAUAUGAUAUCCCUAUAUCAUUAAAGUAAAGCCUAAGCACAUUCUGUGGCUUUUGUGUCUACUCUGUUGUUGCUGAGCUUAUGAACUAUUAGAAAUAAUUCCCUCUUGCAUUUUCACACAUGGGGAAUGUGAUGUUCUCUUGGGUAUUAUGCUAAUCAUAUUUUGGCAGGUUUCUCUGAAGCAGAUGCAGAAAUGAUCAUACCACUUUCCAGGGUGUAUUAUUUUAGCUCCUUUGACUUGGGCCCUAAGUCUGUUUUACCUGAUGUUCCUGAAAGAUGUUCCUGAUGUCCCUCACUGUUCUUUCAUGCUGGAUGUUCUUGCCUAUGCUGCCUCCUCAGCUAUCACCCUCUCUUCCCCUUUUUAAUGUAGAACUCAUUCUUAAUGAUUUGUCAAAGGCACCCUAUUUCACUGAAAUGCCUUCUAUAUUCCCUACCCUCCAAGUGGAUUGUAGACCUUCUAAGGUCUUUUGACAUCUGCAUAUCUCUAGCACAGCACUUAUCACGGUGAUUAUUUAUCUGUUCAUCUUUCCAAGUAGACACUCUCAUUUUAACUCCCUACCCUAGUCGCCAGCAUCCCCAGCAUAGUGCCUGUCAUAAAAUGGUGCCACAAUGAAAAUUUGAAAAAUGAAUGAAUUGAACGUGAUAAACAUAGAUGAGAAUCCUAUAUUCUACAAUUUUUUAAAUGUACUGAAAUUAUUCUUUUUGAAUCCUCCUAUUUAUUUCUGUGACUUCUUUGGUGACAAAGUUAGAAAAAAGUGGAGGUCAGUAGGGAGAUAUGAAGGGACGCAGGUGGAAGCAGUGAGCCUGGGCGGGUGAUGGAGUGGGCGAUACGUGGCACAGGGGUCAGUGAGUUAAUCUGGGCUCAUUCAGAGAAUGGAAGGUGUGUGCCAAGAAAACUGGUUGGAUAGGGAUAGGUCAGGGAUUCCCUCUUGCAUUCUCACACUUGGGGGCA